GAACGGGUGAGUAACACGUGGGUAACCUGCCCAUCAGAAGGGGAUAACACUUGGAAACAGGUGCUAAUACCGUAUAACAAUCGAAACCGCAUGGUUUCGGUUUGAAAGGCGCUUUUGCGUCACUGAUGGAUGGACCCGCGGUGCAUUAGCUAGUUGGUGAGGUAACGGCUCACCAAGGCAACGGUGCAUAGCCGACCUGAGAGGGUGAUCGGCCACAUUGGGACUGAGACACGGCCCAAACUCCUACGGGAGGCAGCAUG
rnacentral:rRNA from 1 species